AGUAACUCCACCUUCAUCUCACCUUCUCGCUAUAUAUACACGCUCCCAGCAAGAGAAAUCUGUAAGCAGAGAACCCAAAUAAAAAAUCCAGAUUAGUUUUUAACUCCCGGAAACCUCUGCUGAUUAGCUCUAAAGAUGGGAAGAUUGUUUAGGCUUGUUAUGGGCCUAUGGACUAAAUCCUCCAACAGCGAUUGGAGUUUUCAAGAAACCGCUUCUCAUCAUGACGAAUCCAUGAUAAUUAACCGGACCGACUCUUUUGAGGGUGUGGUAGAGAGGAUUCGCAUAACGGUCAACCUUGGAAUUCUAACACCGGUGGCGUUGACUUAUCAACUCCCGGACUGGAUGCUUGAGCCUGAUGGUCCUAAAACUCCUCUGAUCACGUUGUCAUGUGACAAAGAUGUUGAGAUUAUGUCAACUGUGAGUGACUACAUGUCUGAGCCGGUGCUCUAUGUAACUAGUGGGCCUGAACUAGUUGCCAAGUAUCAGCUCUUUUGUCGAUCACCCUUCACAAUAGAUGAAACCACUUACCAUGAAGAAGGAGUAACUGAAGAACAACAUCGCCAAGCUAUAAGAGACUUGGUUGGGGGACAUCCAAUCGUGUGUAGCCACCAUAUUUUGGAGUUAAUGUUCAACGAACCACAACUCCUCCUCGUCUACCGUGUUGCUCUUGAGAUUGAGAUGGUUUAUGGUAUACCCAACGACAAUGAAGAAAAUGAAGAUCCCGCUCAGUUUCUGAACUUAACCGGCGAGGAACAUAUGUCAAUGGAUGAAGGUGUUACAAUUCGUCCAGAAGAUCCAGCAAACUACGAUCCUAACAUCGAAGUGCUCUACGGGGAACCUAUGACAAUUGAGCAGCUGUAAAAUGCAUUCAUAGACCAAUCAACUCCUUUGGAUGUGCAACCUCUUAACGUAUAGAGAGAAAGCACGCCUGAAGAGCAUACUGGGAUGGUAUGAUGAACAAUGAAACUGGUUAUGAGGUCUAUCUUUGUCAGCCACCACACCCAACUUAAGGAGUUCUUGGUCUCCAACUUGCCCCAAAUAAAAGGGUUUCCGCGCCCCAACCAGCUACAAUUAUCAUUAAUGAGGAUAAUGAUGGUUCCUACACUGGGUCUUCAGACGGAGUAAACGAUAACGACAACGUCACAAACGCACAUCCACCAGAAGACAUGGAACCCUUUUCAACGGUCGUGAUAGGUGAGCCUUCCGCAGAAGUUGCCAAACAAAACACCUCCUCCACCGACGAGGUUGUCGUCGCCACGGAUCCACCUGUCACUGCAACCAAUACCGAACCCUGCCUUGAUUUAAGCCUUGGAAUAGGAUUUGAAAAACCAGUACUGGUGCUGUUCCUAUCAUAGAUCUGGAUGACUCGUCUUCUGAAGCUGAAGAGGGAAUCAGUGGGUUUGAUCCCCUCUUUUAAACCUAAAGCUUCUUUUGAAAUAAAAGUAACAUAAAUAACUACUAGCUUUUGAUGUGAAUUAUGUGGCCGGGGGGAGUUCCUUUUUGUGUUCUAUGAAACUCGAAUGAUGCAUAAAAUGUUUUCGGCACCUUUUAAUGUGAAAUAUUAAUGUAAAAUAUGUUAAAUUUA